GCUUUAUAUUGACAUUAGAGUUAUUUAUGUAGAAGUAAUUAAAUAGCUUUAAUUACAGUAUUUUGUUGGGGUGACAGGAAGAUAUAAAAAACUCUUUUUAGAAUUUAAAUCAUUGAUGUAUGAAUUAUUGAUCCGUUAUUGACGAUUAUAAGACUAAGU
rnacentral:rRNA from 1 species